rnacentral:lncRNA from 10 species
UCUGAGAGGAUUGACUCCACUUUGAAAGAAGUUCUACAUGAGGUAUCAAACAUCUCAUGCAACAGCGAAACUUUUCAUGAAACGAAAAGUCAAUCAAUGCAGGAAACUUCAUUGUCUUAUUUCAGAAACUGCCACAGCCACUUCAACUUUUCACAACCACCACCUUGAUCAACCAGCAGCCAUCAACAUUGAGGGAAGACUCUCCACCAGCAAAAAGAUUACAAUUCACUGAAGGUUCAGAUGAUUAUCAACAUUUUUUGCAAUAAAGUCUUUUCAGUUAAGUGGAAGAAACUUUCACUAAAGGCCUGGGACUUAGCUUACAGAUAUAGAGAAAAAUAAAGUCAGAUUCUCAAGUUACCUCAUUCUCAUAUAUCCUGCUUUCUACUUGGAUAAUUAUUAUGGACUGAAUUGUGUUCCCCUAAAAUUUGUAGUCUGAAGCCCUAACCUUCAAUGUGACUGUAUUGGGAGAUAGGGCCUUUAAAGAAGUGAUUAUGGUUAAAUGAGAUUGUAAAAGUGAGGCCCUAAUCUAACAGGACUUGUAUCCUUCUAAGAAGAGGAGAAGACACCAGAGAUCUCUCUCUCUCCAUGCACAGAGAAAAGGCCAUGCGAGGACACAGCAAGAAGAUGCCAUCUGUAAGCCAAGGAGAGAGGCCUGAGAAGAAACAAGCCCUGCUGGUACCUUGAUCUUGGACUUUCAGCCUCCAGAACUGUGAGAAAAUUUCUGUUAAGCCACCCGGUUUGUGGUAUUUUGUUAUGGCAGCCUGUGCAGACUAAGACAAUCAUGAAGUGUUAAUUUAAUCAGUAAGAAUAAACCAACUUGAAAGCAUCUUCC